CCGUCCCUUUUUCUCCCACAUAUCCGAGGUCUCUCUCUCCCUCUCUUUCUCUCUCUUUCUUCCUCAUGACCGGCUGCCGCCACCGUCGGCCGAUCUCCUUCACCGUAGCUCCACAACCCAAACCCUCGCGCCAUCGGGCUUGCCUCGACGAGGGGAAUCCAUUUUUCUAGUUUCCCCUCUUCCCUAUCCACUCCAUCAAGCCACCACAACCACCUCCCUUGCAGCCGAAGAGAAGCUCUUCUACUCGCCGUUCCGGCCAACUCCUCCUCUCUCUCGGCCAGCCACCGACUUACCCGGGUGCGCGUCGCUCGGGAACACGCUUGGCCGCCGCCGUCGAAGCCGUUCCACCAUCGGAGCACCGGCGCCCCUUCUCUCUCUCUCUUUCUCUCUCUCUCUCUCUGUUGUUACACGGGAAGAAGAAGAGAAGGAAGAAGAUGACGGGAGGAAGGAGGAAAAGAAAAAGAAAAAGAAAGACUGACAGUAGAGUUUAUUUUAUUUUGGAUGGCAACCUGUGGUAUUUUAAGGAUCGGAUAAUCAGGUUGCCUACCUUGGAUUAUUCGCGUUGGAGCAAGAGUUAAAUUGAAGUUCUUGCCGAAGCCAGGAGUUCAAUCAUAUAAGUUAGUCUUAUUUCAACCUAGUUCACAAAUCUAAAUUAGUUAGAUGGUUUAAGUCUAUAGCAAAAUAUUAGAGUUGAGACACUCUAUAGCUUCUGCUGUAAUAGUUAGCCACAAUCUUGUAAAUUCCCCUAUUAAUUUAUGUAAUAACAUCUCCUUUGGAGCCUUGUUCAAA